GGAUCUGUCUGUGUGAUGCUUUUGCUGGGGACAGAACAGGAAUGGAGUCUUAGAACUUAGUAAGGGAAUAGAGGCAGAAAAAUAAGCAAAAUAGGUGAGAGUGAAGCUCAGAAGAAGCUAGAACUGCACAGGUAGCAAAUUGCUAAGAAGGAAUGAGAGAGCCAGCAAGCCCUGACUUAAAAGACAAAGAACUUGAGGCCCAGAAAUAGGCUCAUAUUGAAGCACAAAAAGCUGCCCUGGAAAAAGAAAAGACUGCCUACCAGCAAACCCUGGACUUAAAAGACAAAGAAACUGAGGCCCAGAGACAAGCAUAAAUUGAGACCCAGAAGCAUGAACUGGCUAUAAUGGAGUGGAAGAGGUGCACAGAGACAUGUAUCCUGGCAGUGGAAGUUGGGGUCCUGGUGACUGCUGCGGUACAAACAGACCCCAAGGACUCUGUAGCUGGAAGCAAGCCCAACCUGAGUGGGAGGAGGGUGGAGAUUUGACUGGCUAGUGAAGUGUCUGUCAUAGCUGGUAGCUGUGAGCCCACAACCAGGUCAGGGUCACAUUCCCUUUUGGGGGACAAAGGCGUAUCUGCCUCAGAGGGGAGCCCAGAGAGGGAAGUCCAGAUGAAAGGUACGGGGGGACAGGAGGGUCUGCCCACCUUUUGUAGGAAGGCUUUUCCCCAGGCAAAGGGUGAAGCAUCUGCAUCUGAAAUGCUAGACCCCUCACCUGUGGAUCAGGUUUAAAGGGAAGACUGGAGGUCAGAUCUCCUGGAGGGGAGAGUCCACCCAGCUGACCUUUUGGGAACAGAGAAUGGGGUGACUGCGGGGAUCUUACCAAUCCAAAACACUCCACUGAAAGAUGUUGUUCUUCCUAUGCUUGUAAUAGAUAACACUAUUGCUUCAAAGCAGGGGGAGGAAAAACUUUUCAUUUGGAAAGCAUCACAAGCUGGUGGGGUCCAACACAAAGAGAUUCCAGCAGGAGGGGCAGAGCUCAGGCAUGGUUGCAGUGCACCUUUUCCUUGCCAAAACCCCAAACACAUACCUGAAUUGAGAGCCUUCUCCAAAGAGAACUGGGUAGCAGAUGACCUGUCCAGAAAAGAGGAAUUUCCUUGCAUUCCACAUGCUUUAUGAAAAUAUGCUUAUAAAUGUGAAUAUGAUGUAACUGGAAUAUGCUUUAUGCAAAAGGUCUCUUGUAAGGUAUCAUUAAGAACCUUAUAGUCUACUGAGUGUGUUCAUCCUAUUUAUUUGCCUGUAUUAGUUCUAUGUCUGGAGUUAGGAGAAUAAGAUCUAAACUUGUAUUACUGAUACAAUAAUACGAUACUGAUAAUAUGUUUACAUAUUAAGUGGAAGCCAUUAAGGGUGCUUCAGAUUCAAUGACCUGUAUAUGGCUCUGUUUACUUGCAAACCUUCCUGUGUACGUGUGGGCCAGUCCAGCAAGAAUGGAGGCUAGGGUCUCUCAGAACAAGUGACCAUGUCACAUGAUGCUGGAAUCCAUAUUAAAUCUGGUACUUUUCCAUUUAGAAGGAGGGGUGGGGACCCAGAGAGACAAAAGAUUCUUGCCUUGGGCCAAAUCUAUAAAAGGGGGUGGAACAGGGCAAAGGGCUGCCAGUCAUAAGAAAGCCCUUGCUUAACACCUAAGAUGUCUGCUGGAACUAACAAGGACUGUACCGGGGAAAGGAUUGGGCCCAGACUAGAAAGAAGUCCAGUCUGUGAAAGAAGCUUAUGGAACAUCUCUGAGGGUCUUGGGUCAUUCUGCCAAUGUGGAUCUCUCUGCUGAAGUCACAACUCUCCCCGUCAGUGAUCUGCAUUUCUCAAACUGCUAUCCCAGUGGUGGUGCCUCCGGGGAAAUAAUGGGUAAUCCACUUAACAGGAGGUACCACACUGCUUUCAUAAGCUGCAGAAGAUGGAGGAAUCUGAAGCAAAUUGGAAGCAAGAGGAGCCCGUGAUUGUGUUGUACAAAGGCCUUGCCACCAUGUUGUAGGAGGAACGUGCUUGGCAGAUUCACAGAUUGCAUUGUUGGACCAAACACCCGAAGAGGUUCUGUAUUCUGCAACAUUUGAAGACACUUUUGUUUUCCUGAGUUACCUGACCAGUGAGAUUAAACAUGAUAAAAAUAUGACAUUAGUCAGCAUCACAGAUCCUGUCUUCAGAGCAUGAAGCCUUGGGUAACUCGAUCAUUUAAGACACAUUGACUUUUACUGCUGCCACUGAUACAGACUAAUACGGCUGCUACUCCGAAACCCGUCAAAGAAAAGUGCUAUUGAAACGAAGCUGGGACCUCGUCCUGUUAAUGGAGGACAGCCAGACUUAUUCAGAAUUAUGUGCUGGUGACUGACACCUGAAAUAAUUUGUCAAACCUUAUUGAGAUGUUACUUUCACAUGACUUUGUAUCUCUUCUAGCAGAUAAUACAGCCAUUCAUUCUGGAUUUCAAACCAUGGAAAUACCUUGACUUUCUGAGGGUCUACUACUUCCCUAUUCAUGACUGCCACCUGUAUGUAGGCCUGGCUCAAGGUUUUGUCAUCCCAUUGCUCCUCUAUGAAGUUGGAGAACCUCCCUUUCUCUAUCCUCACUGGUGUUUGCAGCAUUUUCAUCUGUGAAGCUCAAUAAAGCAAUGUGAAAACUAUCAAAGGGAACCACCUGAGUUUAGGAAUCUGACCCUGCAUAGAACUAAUGAGACUGGAGAGAAAUGCCCUGUCAAGUCCCUGAAAGUUAUAGAAUCAUAGGACUGGAAGGGACCUAGAGAGGUCUCACUGAAAGGACCUUACCAAACAGCUACGUGAUAUCUGGGUCAUUGGGGAACUACACACUGCCCAGAGGAGAACUGCGAGGACCCUGAGAACAGAGAAAGGAAUCCGUCCCCAGGUGAUGGCAGGAGGCCUGACUCCAGAAGAGAGUCCUGGGUUGAAAGGAGUCUCUUUGUCUGGAGACCUGAAUAGUUCAGCUGGAGGAAGAACAGAGGAGCAGCGAGAUGGUGAACAACCAGCUCAAGGAAGCAAAUCUAAAGGCAGUGGAUUUGAAAAUGGGACAAAAUGCAGUUAAAACAUCAGAAAAUCAGGAUGCUCUCCCUCUCAUCUGUGAUCAAUCACAUAUCCAAAUGGUGGUGUGUCAGCAGUUUCCACGGCCAGCUUGUGUGGUGAAGAGGGAAAUGAGGCUUUUUACUACUUGGGAAACAAGUUAGGAUUGUGGACACAAACUGUAUGUUUCCAGCAGUGAAAUAGUUAACGGUGUUGACACGUACAUCAUCACCUUCAGGUUUCAGAUUUUCACCCUGUGCAAUGCAUAGGGUCAAUCAUACCACUCAGAACUGUUUCAGAGUACCAGCCUUGUUAGUCUGUAUUCGCCAAAAGAAAAGGAGGACUUGUAGCACUUUAGAGACUAACACAUUUAUUUGAGCAUAAGCUUUCGUGAGCUACAGCUCACUUCAUCAGACGCUCAAAUAAAUGUGUUAGUCUCUAAGGUGCCACAAGUCCUCCUUUUCUUUUUUCAGAACUGUUGUUUCAGAUUGUCGGCAGACUCAGGAAGAGACACUGCAUCAGUUUACCUUGGGUCACAUUUUGAAGGUUUAGGGGACAAGAGGCAGCUUCAGCUUUUGAAGGAGCAGGACUGGUCAGCAGCAGCAGCAGCAUGUUGCUUAGUAGUAUGAAACCACCUGCUAAGCAAUGCAGUCUUAUGUGAACACAACACUCAUGAUUAGUCUGCUCUGGCUCUCUGUUUCCUUCUGGUUGCAAUUCAAGGUGUAAAUGAUAUUUAAAGUCCUGAGUGAUUAGGGCUCUGAGAAUUUAACUUUCAUUCUAUGGAUCAAAGCAGUUGAGAUGGAUUCUGACAGUAAGCACUUCCCAACCAAAGGCUGGCAACAAGGAUUUUUAGUUGAUGGCCACCUUCUUUUAGAAUUCACUCCCAUUGGCGGUCCAUUUAUGAAUCUAGCAACUUUCAGCCCAGAAUGCCAGAUGCAAUAGUUCUUGUUUAGCAUUUGAUUAACUGUUUGUUAGUUUUGUUCUGUUCUGUUUGUACUUGCUGUCACCAUGUUGGUGCUACAGAACAUAUAAAAAUAAUAAUCUGUAUUCUCAUAAUUUAAGGUGUAGUUCAGGUUAUUUAUCACUUUAAUAAACACAUGAUGUCAUUUAUAACGACUGUCAUCUUGGUCAUCCCUGAAAACUCAACCCAGAAUUGCUUAACAAAAACAGGAGCCAUUAGAGUAUACUAAGCCCUUAGCUAGCAGCUGUAGCAUAUUUUCUACAGCAGGGAGAGGGACACAACACACACUGAGCAGGAUACUCCGAGACUGAGCUACUGUAGCUAUGAACAGCUGGAGAAUGAGGCCAUGCUGAGCAGGAGAUUAAAGCACUAUUGAGUUGGAAACCUGAAUGCCAUGGAAAAAUCUGAAGACCUCACACAGUGCUAGAACCCCUCUCCUGGUACAUACACAAUCACCAGAAUGUCUUCCUUAACAUUCCUAGUGCAAUAGUAUUAUAUCUUAUGAUAUAGUAAUACAUAAUAUAUUACAGUAGCAUAUAGCAACUACAAUCAAGACAACAUUGUGAUAGGCACCGUA